AAUUUCUUGGAAAAAUAACAAAAAUUUCAGUUUGGGGCAUAAAUAAGCUAACACAAAAGAAUAAGAAAGCCUUCAUAAAACCCACAGCAGAAAUGACGAAAUUCCCCUUUGAAUCGUAUCUAAUGUCACAGCU
rnacentral:snoRNA from 1 species